rnacentral:rRNA from 1 species
CCUACGGGAGGCAGCAGUGAGGAAUAUUGGUCAAUGGACGAGAGUCUGAACCAGCCAAGCCGCGUGAAGGAUGACUGCCCUAUGGGUUGUAAACUUCUUUUGUAAAGGAAUAAAACGAGGCACGUGUGCCUUUUUGCAUGUACCUUAUGAAUAAGGAUCGGCUAACUCCGUGCCAGCAGCCGCGGUAAUACGGAGGAUCCGAGCGUUAUCCGGAUUUAUUGGGUUUAAAGGGGGCGUGGAGGGGUUGUUAAGUCAGUUGUGAAAGUGUGGGGUUCAACCGUAAAAUUGCAGUUGAUACUGGCAGUCUAGAGUACAGUAGAGGUAGGCGGAAUGCGUGGUGUAGCGGUGAAAUGCUUAGAUAUCACGAAGAACCCCGAUUGCGAAGGCAGCUUACUGGACUGUAACUGACGUUGAGGCUCGAAAGUGUGGGGAUCGAACAGGAUUAGAUACCCGAGUAGUC